rnacentral:rRNA from 1 species
GUAGGGUGCGAGCGUUAAUCGGAAUUACUGGGCGUAAAGCGUGCGCAGGCGGUUAUGUAAGACAGAUGUGAAAUCCCCGGGCUCAACCUGGGAACUGCAUUAGUGACUGCACAGCUGGAGUACGGCAGAGGGGGAUGGAAUUCCGCGUGUAGCAGUGAAAUGCGUAGAUAUGCGGAGGAACACCGAUGGCGAAGGCAAUCCCCUGGGCCUGUACUGACGCUCAUGCACGAAAGCGUGGGGAGCAAACAGGAUUAGAUACCCUGGUAGUCCCACGCCCCUAAACGAUGUCAACUGGUUGUUGGGUCUUCACUGACUCAGUAACGAAGCUAACGCGUGAAGUCGACCGCCUAGGAGUACGGCCGCAAGGUUG